rnacentral:tmRNA from 1 species
GGGGGUGUACCGGAUUCGACGGAAUGAGUAAAAUCGCAGGUUGCAUGCCGAGUUUGCGCGAUGACACUCGUUAAAAAGCAUCAUGCAUAUAUGUAAUUGACAACAAUUACUCUUACAGCUUAGCUGCAUAAACAGCUUUGCCGUUCUCUCGGCUUCUUGCCUGUCAGUGCCGUUAGAACGCCGACUAUGAUAGGAUAAUAUGGCAUUCGCCGUCUGUCGGAUGUCAUGUGAGAUUAAAACAGUCUAGUCUGGAGUUGUUUGUUACCGAGCGUAGCUUCAGGCGAAACUCAAUUCGGUAACUAAGCAUGUAGAUACUUGAACGAUAUGCCAUUUCGGACCGGGGUUCGACUCCCCGCACCUCCACUA